GUCCAGCAUGAUAGAAGCCAGGACAGCUGCACUGCCGUGGUCAUCCGAGACCUCACAGAGCUUCUUGUUUCAGAAUUCCGAGAGCUAGCCCAAUCUGCUCUGAAGCAUGCUAGAGACCAAGUUAUUUCUUUCUUCUCCCCCUCUGCCUCCUUUUUUUUCCUCAUGCCACUCAGUUCUCCUAGGCUCCUCUUCAAAGAUUUGAUGAAGAUAAAAAUUCAUUUUUGAGCCAGGAUGUGUCACUAGCUGGGAAAUGAGAAGCCAAUGAAUCACAGUAGGAGGCCGCGAGUUUCUGGUUGACCUUCGGUCGAAGUGAACACCUUAAUUCUCCAGGGCUAAGAAGGACUUCAUGUAGCUGAUAGGCAGUUGGAAUAGAGAAGCUCUGAAGCUCUUUCCAUCUCAGGGAUCUGAGAUUUCCUAAGGCAACUGGAGUGAAGAUCCCGCCACUGCUCAGAGGACUACUGCGCUGCUUACUACUGAUCCUAGGAAUCCCACAUCCUCUUUCUGGCCUCCAAUACUGACCAUCAAUACUUCUCAGACCCCCUUCUCACCACCUCAGUUCUCCUGAUUCAUUAAUAUGCUAUCCUCCCUCCUAUAAAGGAAAUAUACCUGCCACUACAGGAAUGUGAUCUCAACUGUCUGAUUUUUUAUCCCUUUAACCAUUUCAAC
rnacentral:lncRNA from 1 species